rnacentral:lncRNA from 1 species
AAGGACUCCCGGCUCCUGACACCCAACUGUUGUCUACUAGCCCACCGGGGCUCAGGCAGGCCUUAGCAGGAUCACUGCAUGGCCUGGGUACAGAGCUCCCAGAUGCUGCUCCAUUCCCACGCAGGACACUCAGCUGCUACCCACCCACAGGAACUCCAGCUGCCAUUCCCCUGUGGACACCCAUCUACCAAGGAGGAGCAUCUAGAUGGUCUCUUUUCCUCUCUCUGUAGAUGGACGACUUGGUGAAGUCUGGAGACCGAGCUGAGGAUUCCCAUUAUCUCA